GACGAACGCUGGCGGCGUGCUUAACACAUGCAAGUCGAACGGAAAGGCCAUGCUCUUGUGGGGUGCUCGAGUGGCGAACGGGUGAGAAAAACGCGAGUAACCCGCCCUUGAAAUUGGGAUAACAUCAGGAAAAUGGGGCUAUAAUAGGAUAGGAGCUACUGCUGCAUGGUGGGGGUUGGAAAGUUUCGGCGGUGGGGGAUAGAAUAGCGGGUUACCCGCUAGGUGGUGGAGUAGUUGAUUACCAAGGUUUCGAAGGAUAGCCGGCCUUAGAGCGUGACCGGCCACAAUAGUACUGAGGUAGGGCCCAGACGGCUACGGUAGGCAGCAGUCGAGAAUAUUGCGCAGUAAGCGGGAGCCUGAUAUAACAGCGCCGCGUGCGUAAUGACGGCCUUCGAGUUGUAAACCGCUUUCGCCUUUGACAAAGCGUUAUUGACGGUAAUUGGUAAAGAAGCACCGGCUAACUACGUG
rnacentral:rRNA from 1 species